GACGACGCUGGCGGCGUGGAUUAGGCAUGCAAGUCGAACGGUAUCAUCCUUCGGGGGUGAGAGAGUGGCGAACUGGUGAGUAACACGUAGGUUAUCUACCCUCAAGACGGGGACAACCCCAGGGAAACUUGGGCUAAUACCGGAUGUGAGCAACUUUUAGUUGUUUGAAAGGUGGCGUAAGCUGUCGCUUGGGGAUGAGCCUGCGUCCUAUUAGUUAGUUGGUGAGGUAACGGCUCACCUAGGCAAUGAUAGGUAGGCGGCCUUAACGGGUGGUCGCCCACACUGGGAUUGAGAUACGGCCCAGACUCCUACGGGAGGCAGCAGUCGAGAAUAGUCUACAAUGGUCGGAAGACUGAUAGUGCGACGCCGCGUGAACGAUGAAUCCCUUCGGGGUGUAAAGUUCUUUUAUAUGUGAGCAGUGCUUCUUAUAUUAACAGUAUGGGGAGAGAGAUAUUAGCAUAUGAAUAAGCAACGGCUAACUCCGUG
rnacentral:rRNA from 1 species